ensembl:lncRNA novel transcript
GUGGGAAAGGGAAAGAAUGGCUCUUUCCUCCUCUGUUCUCUAGGAGGGGUCAUGCAUUCUGGAAAAUAAUGCAGAGUGGUACAGGCUGAAGCGGAGCGGAGAGGACACUGUUUCAAGAUUCCUGCGCCAGCUCCUUCGUUGUUAUAGAAGUUGGACUAAAUAAAAGGAGGCAGGCAUGCCAUGAACUGGAAAAUGUUUUUGAGAUCAAGGAAAAGCAGCAAAAAGGAAGGCGUUACUACUUAACUGAGAGAGGAGAUAAAAAUCUUUGUUCUUGAUGGUCUUGAUCCCACCUGCCUGGGUGCUGCAGCUCAGUGCUGCCUGAGAAAGCAAGUGACCAAGAGGAGCAGAAGACUACCAGGUAUCAGGUGCUUUGGGUUGACUAUGAAGAGCUAGAAAAGAAACUCAAUAUUCACCCAUCCAAAUUUUCAAGGAAAAAAGGAAGAAAAACCUGCAUAUGCACAACGUCUAAGACAUAACAAAACAUGAAUCACUCAUCUGUCACGAUUGCCUACAGUACAGUAUAAACUUCAUACUCACCAUCUUGACCAAAUAGUUGCUAUCCUCUUACUUCACUUGGUUUAGCUUCAGAGACAUUUUCUCUGAGGUGCAGCAGAAAAUGUGAAAGGGAGAACUGAAGCAUUCAUUGAGAAACUUUGAGCUGGUAACAUGCAAUUGUGAUUCCCUAAAUCCUUAGUAAAAUUUACACAGCACUCCAAGUAAAUAAGAUUUCUAAUUUCUCCAAUAUCUCUUAAACUUUUCACAUCAUUUGGAAUAAAUACUUUGACAUGAAGCCUCUCUA